AUCCAUCUGACGAGUCCUGAAAGGACGAAACAAGCGUCCUGGAU
rnacentral:hammerhead_ribozyme from 1 species